ensembl:snRNA U2 U2 spliceosomal RNA
AUCGUUUCUCUGCCUUUUGGCUAAGAUCAAGUGUAGCAUCUGUUCUUAUCAGUUUAAUAAAUUCACAGAAUUUUUCUUGCAAGGGAAGGUUUUAUUUGUUUUUUUAUCUUUGUUGUUUUGAGAAGGAGAGAGUUGAGCGACUCUUUAUCUGAACACCUGGACCUUUU